rnacentral:rRNA from 1 species
CCUANGGGUGGCAGCAACUGGGAAUAUUGCGCAAUGGACGAAAGUCUGACGCAGCGACACCGCGUGUGGGAUGAAGUAUUUUUUAUAUGUAAACCACUGUGGCGAGGGAUAAAGCUCUGAUAGUACCUCGCUAGAAAGCAUCUGCUAACUACGUGCCAGAAGCCUCGGCAAUGCGUGGGAUGCAAGCGUUAUCCGGAUUUAUUGGGCGUAAAGGGUUUCGCAGGCGGAUAGUUAAGUCCGGUUUUAAAGCCCACGGCUCAACCGUGGAAAGGGGUCGGAUACUGGCUGUCUGGAGGGUAUCAGGGGAGACUGGAAUUCUCGGUGGAGGGGUGAAAUCCGUUGAUAUCGAGAGGAACGCCAAUGGCGAAAGCAAGUCUCUGGGAUAUUCCUGACGCUCAUGUACGAAAGCUAGGGUAGCAAACGGGAUUAGAUACCCGANUANUC